rnacentral:misc_RNA from 1 species
UCACCCCUCAAGCCCUCGGCUUGGUGUUGGACGGUUUGGUGGAGACCCCCUUUGCGGGCUUCUACCCCUCCCAAAGACAAUGACGGCGGCCUCGUUGGACCCCCGGUACACUGAGUUCUUCACGGGACACGUAUCGGACACACGGGUUUACGGGACACGGUCUGCCUCCCCUCAGGGAGAAUCUUUUUUAUCAA